UGCAGUCGAGCGCCCCGCAAGGGGAGCGGCAGACGGGUGAGUAACGCGUGGGAAUCUACCCUUUUCUACGGAAUAACGCAGGGAAACUUGUGCUAAUACCGUAUGUGUCCUUCGGGAGAAAGAUUUAUCGGGAAAGGAUGAGCCCGCGUUGGAUUAGCUAGUUGGUGGGGUAAAGGCCUACCAAGGCGACGAUCCAUAGCUGGUCUGAGAGGAUGAUCAGCCACAUUGGGACUGAGACACGGCCCAAACUCCUACGGGAGGCAGCAGUGGGGAAUAUUGGACAAUGGGCGCAAGCCUGAUCCAGCCAUGCCGCGUGAGUGAUGAAGGCCCUAGGGUUGUAAAGCUCUUUCACCGGAGAAGAUAAUGACGGUAUCCGGAGAAGAAGCCCCGGCUAACUUCGUGCCAGCAGCCGCGGUAAUACGAAGGGGGCUAGCGUUGUUCGGAAUUACUGGGCGUAAAGCGCACGUAGGCGGAUCGAUCAGUCAGGGGUGAAAUCCCAGGGCUCAACCCUGGAACUGCCUUUGAUACUGUCGAUCUGGAGUAUGGAAGAGGUGAGUGGAAUUCCGAGUGUAGAGGUGAAAUUCGUAGAUAUUCGGAGGAACACCAGUGGCGAAGGCGGCUCACUGGUCCAUUACUGACGCUGAGGUGCGAAAGCGUGGGGAGCAAACAGGAUUAGAUACCC
rnacentral:rRNA from 1 species